rnacentral:rRNA from 1 species
CUGCCCAAGAGACUGGGAUAACACCUGGAAACAGAUGCUAAUACCGGAUAACAACACUAGACGCAUGUCUAGAGUUUGAAAGAUGGUUCUGCUAUCACUCUUGGAUGGACCUGCGGUGCAUUAGCUAGUUGGUAAGGUAACGGCUUACCAAGGCAAUGAUGCAUAGCCGAGUUGAGAGACUGAUCGGCCACGUUGGGACUGAGACACGGCCCAAACUCCUACGGGAGGCAGCAGUAGGGAAUCUUCCACAAUGGACGCAAGUCUGAUGGAGCAACGCCGCGUGAGUGAAGAAGGGUUUCGGCUCGUAAAGCUCUGUUGGUAGUGAAGAAAGAUAGAGGUAGUAACUGGCCUUUACUUGACGGUAAUUACCUAGAAAGUCACGGCUAACUACGUGCCAGCAGCCGCGGUAAUACGUAGGUGGCAAGCGUUGUCCGGAUUUAUUGGGCGUAAAGCGAGUGCAGGCGGUUCAAUAAGUCUGAUGUGAAAGCCUUCGGCUCAACCGGAGAAUUGCAUCAGAAACUGUUGAACUUGAGUGCAGAAGAGGAGAGUGGAACUCCAUGUGUAGCGGUGGAAUGCGUAGAUAUAUGGAAGAACACCAGUGGCGAAGGCGGCUCUCUGGUCUGCAACUGACGCUGAGGCUCGAAAGCAUGGGUAGCGAACAGGAUUAGAUACCCUGGUAGUCCAUGCCGUAAAC